AACUCAUAGGAUCAAAAUAGGAUGGAUGGAAUGGAGCACAAUAAGAGGAGCGUUAUGUAACCAUAAGACCUCUAACAAAGUGAAAAUUAAAUUCUAUAGAAUUGUGGUUAGGCCAACUAUGCUCCAUGUGAGUGAAUAUUAGCAUAUAAGGUACGACAUAUCCAUAAGAUGAGUAAGGUAGAUAUGUGAAUAUUAAGACAGAUGUUUGGUAUUAUGAUAAUGUAUAAAAUCAGGAAUAAACACAUCUACUAAAUAAUGCAUGCAGUCCACAUUUGAGAUAAAGUGAUAGAGUAUCGAUUAAAGAUGUUUUUGUCAUGUUCAACAUAGAGAAUCAAAUGUUCAUGUGCCGAAAUGUGAUUAAUUAAUUAUGGAAUAAGUGAGGAGGAAGAGGAUGAG
rnacentral:misc_RNA from 1 species